rnacentral:rRNA from 1 species
UACGUAGGGUGCAAGCGUUGUCCGGAAUUAUUGGGCGUAAAGAGCUCGUAGGCGGCCUGUUGCGUCCGCUGUGAAAGCCCGGGGCUUAACCCCGGGUCGGCAGUGGAUACGGGCAGGCUAGAGGUAGGUAGGGGAGAAUGGAAUUCCCGGUGUAGCGGUGAAAUGCGCGGAUAUCGGGAGGAACACCGGUGGCGAAGGCGGUUCUCUGGGCCUUACCUGACGCUGAGGAGCGAAAGCGUGGGGAGCGAACAGG